CCGCCUUCUCUUCGUAAGGGCACGGCCUCCCUGGUGAUCAUCGUCGCCUGGACCCUCUGGAAGCACAGAAAUGCUUGCACCUUCGACGGCAUCCGCCCGUCAGUGACCGAGGCCUCUCGAGCUGCUCUGGUCGAGGCAGCAAUGUGGGCCACGGCUGGCGCAAAAGGACUGCGCUCCUUUGUAUUUGAACCGCCUUGA
rnacentral:rRNA from 1 species